rnacentral:lncRNA from 1 species
ACUGCUGCUGUCAGAUUCUGUUUUAUGGCAGAUUUCACUUUACUAAGGAUUUUCAUGGACUAAAUAGCAUUUUAAACAUACAUAACAUCAAAUAUGACUUAGAUUGGCCAUUCCAAUGGCUAAUCAUUUACAAACCAUUUUCUUUCCAAACCAUAGCCAUAUCAUAAGAUCAUUUACACAAAGUGAGUAUUUUGCCAUACAUGCCACAUUCAAAACACACAAGCCAUUUUACCAAUUUAGACCUUCGGAUAGUGUGAACGAGUCUUCGACCUAUCCCAAUUCUUAAGCCGGAUUGUUAAAACUACAAUGAACGAAAAGGAGGGAGUAAGCAUAAAUGCUUAGUAAGUUCAUAUGCAAAUAACAAGUAACAUAACCAUACAAUUAUACCAAACAACCUUAGCAUGGUAUCACCAAAACAUAUAUCACAUUUUUAAACAUCAUUCAUCAUCUUACCACCUUAUCGUUGUUGUAUCUAUUUUCAACCCGAGGGUUAAGUACAUACCUGUCCAAAGUGUCCAUUUCACAACACUUACCAAAACGUCACUUGCAUCUUAAGUAUUCUUCAAUUUCACUAGAAAUUUUACCCGUUGAACACAUCGGAAUAUAAUUCGGAUACAUGGAUAAUUUGCACAUAAGUGCCACAUUUGUAGCCAAGCUACCCUGUAACCCGCCCAUAAGUGAACUCGGACUCAACUCAACAAGCUCAGGCGUUAGCAUCCAUAAGUGAACUCGGACUCAACUCAACGAGUUCGGAUGCCUAGUUACAUCUCACGAACUUGGACUCAACUCAACGAGUUCGGACAUUCCACAUCCAUAAGUGAACUCGGACUCAACUAAACGAGUUCGGAUGCUCAACCAUCCUAAUGACAUGUCACUUGUAUCCUAAUCUGUUCCUAAGGUUCAAACGGGAUUUUCCUCGAACACAUCUCCUUGCCAUCUUCCGUAAAAUACCGAAACCAAUACUCGGUAGCACUUUAUAUUUAACAAAUAAUACACUUAAUUUGCAUUUUAUUCGAAAAUAACCACAAAGCAUAUAUUUCAUGAUAAAAAUCAGCAUAUCAUAUAUUUAACAUCAAUAACUUAAAAAUAACAAUUAUGCUACCUUAUUUACACAUGAACUUACCUCGGUACAAAAUUUUUAACAAUCGAGCCUAUUCCUCGUAAACUUUGUUUUUCUCUUGAUCACGACUUGAAUCUCGUUUCUCUUGAUCUAUAAUACCAAAUUAACCUUAUUUAAUACAUACAUUGAUUAAAACAGUCCUUAAUACGAACUUUGGCAAAAUUACCAUUUUGCCCUUAAACUUUUGCAUAAUUACACUUUUGCCCCUAGGCUCGGGAAUUAAACUUCAUCCCUUAUUAUUAUGUUUUAUGACAUGCUGAUCAUUUUUCCCUUCUAUGGCAACAUCAAAUUCUCACUCUAACAUGUAUUUAUGACUACUAAAUAUUUUUUAUCGAUUAAGCCUUUUUACUCGUUUUUACUCAAAACCGAGUAGCACAAGUUGUCUAACAAAAUUUAAAACCUCAUAUUCUGUCAUAAAACAACAAAAUAAACAAAUUUCACCUAUGGGUAUCUUUCCAAAUAUGAACCAUAGGUUGAAUUAUUGUUAACAUAAGCUAAAUCGAGCUACCGGGAUUUCAAAAACAUAAAAAUCAUUAACAACGGGGCUUGAAAUCACUUACCAUGAAGUUUGAAAGUUGAAAAAACCCUAGCUAUGGAGGAGAGCAAAAAUCGGCAGAACAAUAUGGAGAAGAU